rnacentral:rRNA from 1 species
GGAUUGUAGUCUGCAACUCGACUACAUGAAGCUGGAAUCGCUAGUAAUCGCGAAUCAGAAUGUCGCGGUGAAUACGUUCCCGGGUCUUGUACACACCGCCCGUCACACCAUGGGAGUCAGUAACGCCCGAAGCCGGUGACCCAACCGAUAAGGAGGGAGCCGUCGAAGGUGGGACCGAUAACUGGGGUGAAGUCGUAACAAGGUACC